rnacentral:misc_RNA from 1 species
GAUGAAGAACGCAGCGAAAUGCGAUAAGUAAUGUGAAUUGCAGAUUUCAGUGAAUCAUCGAAUCUUUGAACGCACCUUGCGCCUUGUGGUAUUCCACAAGGCAUGCCCGUUUGAGUAUCAUUAAAUCAUCAACUCUAAAACCUUUGUGGUUUUUUUAGAGCUUGGUCUUGAGGGUUUUGCAGGCUUUUUUUUUUUCGAUUCUGCUCCCUUUAAAUGCAUUAGCGAGACUUCCCUAUGCUGAACCGUCUCUUUGACGUGAUAAUUAUCUGCGUCGAAUUUUGGUUCUCGUUGGGCUUGCUUCUAAUCGUCUGUUAAAGACAAAACGGAUUUGGGUGCAUAUAUGCGCCUUUUUCCAAAACCUUUUUUGAUCUCAAAUCGGGUAGGACUACCCGCUGAACUUAAGCAUAUCAAUAAGCGGAGGA